GGGGGUGUAAAGGUUUCGACGGGGGUGUAGAAGCCGGAUAAGCGAGCGGUAGUUUGUCCAGUCUACCUUAAAAAGGACACGUUAAAUAUAAACGCUAAAAAUAACAACAAUUUCGCAUUAGCAGCUUAGUUCUGCACCGCGCGUCAGCCCGGGUUUACCUGUAGGCCCGGAACCUGGCGUCGACUAUACAGGAAAACUCUGUGAGAGCUCCCGGUAUCACAGGGGAUCAACGGGAUAGCUGAUUUCGCAGCCUGUUAAUGGGCGUCGAAAAAGGCGAAGCUAAAAAUCAUUAACUGCGCUCGGAGAAAGUCCUGUGGAAAUGCUUUCGGACGUGGGUUCGACUCCCACCAUCUCCACCA
rnacentral:tmRNA from 1 species